rnacentral:rRNA from 3 species
CCCGCUGAGUUUAAGCAUAUCAAUAAGCGGA